rnacentral:rRNA from 1 species
GUGCACCAGUCGAGAAACUUCACACUGUGCGAAAGCACGAUGAGGGAAUCCCAAGUGCUUGCACGUAAGUGUAAGCUGUUUCUCUGUCUAAAACGCAGAGAGAGUAAGGGCUGGGUAAGACGGGUGCCAGCCGCCGCGGUAAUACCUGCAGCUCAAGUGGUGACCGUUAUUAUUGGGCCUAAAACGUCCGUAGCCGGUUUAAUAAAUGCCUGGGUAAAUUGUGUAGCUUAACUAUACGAAUUCCGGGUAGACUGUUAAACUUGAGACCGGGAGAAGUUAGAGGUACUCCUGGGGUAGAGGUGAAAUUCUGUGAUCCUAGGGGGACCACCAGUGGCGAAGGCGUCUAACUAGAACGGGUCUGACGGUGAGGGACGAAGCCCUGGGGCGCAAACGGGAUUAGAUACCGGGUAGU